AGCAGUGUGGCCUAGUGGACAGAGCACCGGAAUGGCACUCAGGAGACCUGGGUUCUUUUCUCAACUCUGCUA
rnacentral:tRNA from 1 species